CUUCUAUUCCCAUCCUUCUCUGUGAGAUGUUGUGAUGGUUCAGCUAUGUCCCUGCCAUGUGCCAUAACCCUUUGGCAUCAGAAGAGACUCAAGCCACCGUCCAGCUCAGGAUAAUGCACAGGAAAAGCAUAUGGCAUUUCUCAAAGGUACCUGAUAUCCCUGGAUGGGUUCAAGGAGACAUCGAGGAACAGCGAAUUCAUAUUUUAAG
rnacentral:lncRNA from 1 species